rnacentral:rRNA from 1 species
AUGAGGAGCCUGCCGCACUCCUCGCUUGGAAUCCUCCUCCUGCCGGCGCUGCUGCUCGUGCUGGCCGCGUCGCCGCCGGCGGCGCCGCUGUCGCCGGACGGGCUCGCGCUGCUGGCCUUCAAGGCCGCGGUGACCGACGACCCGACCUCCGCGCUGUCCGCGUGGUCGGCCAACGACACGGACCCGUGCCGCUGGCCGGGGGUGGCCUGCGUCAACACCUCCUCCACCGAGGCGCGCGUGGCGGGCCUGGCCGUCGCCGGGAAGAACCUCUCCGGCCGCCUCCCGCCCGAGCUCGGCUCGCUCUCCCUCCUCCGCCGGCUCAACCUCCACGGCAACCGGCUGUCCGGCGCCGUGCCGCCGGCGCUCUCCAACGCCACGUCCCUGCGCUCCGUCUUCCUCUACGACAACAACCUCACCGGCGCCUUCCCGGCGUUCCUCUGCGACCUCCCGCGCCUGCAGAACCUCGACCUCUCCAAGAACGCGCUCGCCGGCCCGCUCCCGCCGGCGCUCGGGCGCUGCAGGCAGCUACAGCGGCUGCUCCUUGCCAACAACGGGUUCUCGGGCCGCAUCCCGGCAGCCACCUUGCCGCAGAUGAAGAGCCUGCAGCUGCUCGACCUGUCGUCCAACUCCCUCACGGGCGCCAUCCCGCCUGAGCUCGGCAAGCUCCAGGCGCUGGCCGGCACGCUCAACGUCUCCCGCAACCGCCUCUCCGGCGCGGUGCCGCCGGAGCUAGGGCGUCUCCCGGCGACCGUCACCCUCGACCUCCGCUUCAACAACCUCUCCGGCGAGAUCCCGCAGUCCGGGUCCCUCGCCAGCCAGGGCCCCACGGCCUUCCUCAACAACCCCGGCCUCUGCGGCUUCUCGCUCCAGGUCCCCUGCCGCGCGGCCCCGCCGUCGGCAUCCUCCUCCACGCCGCCUCCGACCACCACCGGCUCCGGCGGCAGCGCCGGCGGCGGCCCUAGCCAGCCGAUGAAGACCAGCCUGAUCGUGCUCAUCUCGGUCGCCGACGCGGCCGGCGUGGCCCUCAUCGGGGUCAUCGUGGUGUACAUAUACUGGAAGCUGCGUGACCGGCGCGGGGACGGCGGCGGCGACGACGAAGACGAGGAGGGGCGAGGGCUCUUCUUCUGCCCGUGCAUGCGCGCAAACACGUGCGGGGACUCGUCGGAAGGGUCGGACGCCGGGGGCGACGGCGAGAAGAAACGCGGCAACGGUUCCGGGGGCGGGGGCGGGGGCGGCGAGGACGGGGAGCUGGUGGCGAUCGACAAGGGAUUCCGGAUGGAGCUGGACGAGCUGCUGCGGUCGUCGGCGUACGUGCUGGGGAAGGGCGGGAAGGGGAUCGUGUACAAGGUGGUGGUGGGCAACGGGACAACGCCCGUGGCCGUGCGGCGGCUGGGCGGCGGCACCGCAGCCCCGGAGCGGUACAAGGAGUUCGCGGCGGAGGCCGGCGCCGUCGGGCGCGUGCGGCACGCCAACGUGGUGCGGCUGCGCGCCUACUACUGGUCGCCCGACGAGAAGCUCGUCGUCACCGACUUCAUCAACAACGGCAACCUCGCCUCCGCGCUGCGCGGGCGCUCCGGGCAGCCGAGCCUGUCGUGGUCGCUGCGGCUCCGCAUCGCCAAGGGCGCGGCGCGCGGGCUGGCGCACCUCCACGAGUGCAGCCCCCGGCGGUACGUCCACGGCGAGGUCAAGCCCUCCAACAUCCUCCUCGACGCCGACUACAACGCCCUCGUCUCCGACUUCGGCCUCGCCCGCCUCCUCACCAUCGCCGGCUGCGCCGACGCCGCGGGAGCCGGCGCCGGCGGCAUAAUGGGCUGCGCUCUCCCGUACGUCAAGCCCCCCGCGCCGGACCGGCCCAACGCGUACCGCGCCCCGGAGGCCCGCGUGCCCGGGUCCCGCCCGAGCCAGAAGUCCGACGUCUACUCCUUCGGCGUCCUGCUGCUGGAGCUGCUCACCGGGCGCUCGCCCGAGCAGGCGUCGCCCUCUGGUUCCUCGGCGUCCUUCUCGGGGCCUGGCGCCGCCGCCGCCGCCGAGGGGCAGCAGGCGCCGGAGAUCGUGAGGUGGGUGCGGCAGGGGUUCGACGACGCGCGGCCGCUCUCGGAGCUGGCCGACGACGCCGUGCUGCGGGACGCCGGCGCGCGCAAGGAGGUGGUGGCCGCGUUCCACGUCGCGCUUGGCUGCGUCGAGGCCGACCUGGAGCGGCGGCCGCGGAUGAAGGCCGUCGCCGACAGCCUCGACAAGAUUGGGUCGUGA